AGAGUUUGAUCCUGGCUCAGAACGAACGCUGGCGGCAGGCCUAACACAUGCAAGUCGAGCGAGAAGCCACCUUCGGGUGGGGGACAGCGGCAGACGGGUGAGUAACGCGUGGGAACGUACCCUUUGGUUCGGAACAACUCCGGGAAACUGGAGCUAAUGCCGGAUAAGCCCUUCGGGGGAAAGAUUUAUCGCCGAUGGAUCGGCCCGCGUCUGAUUAGCUUGUUGGUGGGGUAAUGGCCCACCAAGGCGACGAUCAGUAGCUGGUCUGAGAGGAUGAUCAGCCACACUGGGACUGAGACACGGCCCAGACUCCUACGGGAGGCAGCAGUGGGGAAUAUUGGACAAUGGGCGCAAGCCUGAUCCAGCCAUGCCGCGUGAGUGAUGAAGGCCCUAGGGUUGUAAAGCUCUUUCGGCGGGGACGAUAAUGACGGUACCCGCAGAAGAAGCCCCGGCUAACUUCGUGCCAGCAGCCGCGGUAAUACGAAGGGGGCUAGCGUUGUUCGGAAUUACUGGGCGUAAAGCGCACGUAGGCGGAUCGUUUAGUCGGGGGUGAAAUCCCGGGGCUUAACCCCGGAACUGCCUCCGAUACUGGCGAUCUUGAGUCCGAGAGAGGUGAGUGGAACUCCGAGUGUAGAGGUGAAAUUCGUAGAUAUUCGGAAGAACACCAGUGGCGAAGGCGGCUCACUGGCUCGGUACUGA
rnacentral:rRNA from 1 species